AUGCAAGACAGAUUUAGGGGCUUUAAGUCCAUCCCACCUCAAAAUGUCCUAGCAGCUGUUGAUUUUGACUUGCGAUUCAUCUAUGUGCUUGCUGGGUGGGAGGGAUCUGCCCAUGACUCUCUAGUGCUUCAAGAUGCUUUAAGUCGUCCCACUAGAUUAAAAAUACCAGAAGGAAAAUUCUUCUUACCUGGUGCUGGAUAUGCAAGUAGACCUGGAAUACUACCGCUGUACCGUGGUGUUCGUUAUCACCUAAAAGAAUACAGAGGGGAUACAAAUCCAUCAGAUUAUAAGGAAUUAUUUAAUCACCGCCACUCCUCAUUGAAAACGCAAGUGAAGGUUGUGGUUGCAUGUUGUGCACUUCACAAUUGGAUCCUAGAGAAUGGUAUUGACGAGUAUGUCCUAGAGAAUGGUGAUAUCCACUCCAAAUGUUUUUCGCAGGACCACCACGGUGUUGAUGGCUCUCGCUCUCGCUCUCCCACCUCCUCCUCCCCCUCCUCCACCUCCACCUCCGGCCUCCAGCCACGCUCCAGUCACCACAAACCCCCCGGAUGGCCCUCAACCUGA
rnacentral:rRNA from 1 species